rnacentral:tRNA from 1 species
UCCCUGGUGGCUCAGUUGGUAAAGAAUCUGCCAGCAAUGCAGAAGACCCAGGUUCAAUCCCUGGGUUGGGAA